CCCUUAGAUGUUCUGGGCUGCACGCGCGCUACACUGAUGCAUCCAACAAGUUUUUUCCUUGUUCGAGAGGACUAGGUAAUCUUAUGAGAAUGCAUCGUGAUGGGGAUAGAUUAUUGCAAUUAUUAAUCUUCAACGAGGAAUUCCUAGUAAGCGCGAGUCAUCAGCUCGUGCUGAUUACGUCCCUGCCCUUUGUACACACCGCCCGUCGCUGCAACUGAUUGGGUGACCUGGUGAACAUCUUGGACCGGCCCACUCAAUUUCGAGAGGACUGGAAAAGGCCGUAAAUCAGGUACAUCGAGAAAUUGCAAAAGUCGUAACA
rnacentral:rRNA from 1 species